UAAAUCUUAAUAAAUUUUAAACUGCAAAUUUAAAAAAGAUUGAUUUCUAAG
rnacentral:tRNA from 2 species